GUGCUCACCAUACCACCACCGAGCAAACGAGACUUCGGCACACAUUAGGAACAAGUUAGGCGGGCCAAAUAUUGUAGAAGUAGAGAAUUCUCCUAAUAAUGGGAUGAGAAGGGAGACAAAAUAAAUAACUUGGAAGACCGAGAUCGAAUCGUCAGGCAACUUUGGCAAUGUAUUAGACAACUUAGAAUAUCAGGCGAAAUAUUAGAAAGUUGUAGGUAGAAAUUAUAAUUUUAGAAAGGUGUUGGAUGAAAUUAUAAAUCCAAAAAUUAAAAAUGGCAGGACAGAGAUCUCUCUAGCUCAUCAACCUAAUUCCCUAACUCAUCAAUUUUGUCUCAAUUAGGUCCCUACGGGAAUUGUAGACCUAAUUGAAAUAUUUAACAAUUAAAAAUUAAUUUUAAUUUAGUUAUGAAAGUAAUCGUACAAUUCUCUCUAAUCUUAUAGUUCAAAUCAUACAAUUCUAGUGACAAGAGUUAAAGUAUAAUUAAUGAGACAUUAUGAAACUAAAAUUAAGGCCGAACAUAAUAAUUCUAGUAUAGGUCCUAAUCAUAAAUAUUUACAUGAGUGCUAGAAUGACAUUGAUUCUUAAACCGUCUAAUUUUUACAAUCCUGAUUGAAGUUUGAAAAAUAGAUCGUUUGGCUAUAAUAAGAAUGUAGAGAAACUAAACUAAUAUUUUAUAAAAAUAUUAAUUUAUCAUUAACAUACAACCAUAAAUUUUAGAUAUUUUGAAAACGAUCACGUAAAAUUGAUUAAUUAUUUUAUUAAAUUAAAAUCAUAUCUAAGGAAUUUCGGGAGCUUCAGUUUCUGAACUGGAGUUUGCCCCCGCCUAACCCUAAAUCUAGUUAGACGUGUUUAAAAUAAAAAAUAGAAUUUUAGUUGAUAAAAAUAUAAUUAAAUUAAUAAAUUGAAUAUCAAAAACUGAUGAGAGAAUCAUAAUCUAAUUGCAAGAACAUAAAAACAAAACAUAGAUUUAAAACUUGAAAUAAUAAAUUAUUACUAAACUAAAUCAAACAAAUAAGAAGGAUAGAGAACCUAGAACUUGUAUUGAAAAUUAAACUUGAAUCUGCACUUAGAAUAAUCUCAAAAUGAAACUUCGAAAUAUAUAUAAAUUAAAUCUUCACUGAAAAUAAAUAUAAGUGUAUUUAUUUAUUUUUUUCUCUCUCUCUAACUAACUUUUAUCUUUUUUUUUCUCCUUAAGAAGGUAGCCUUAAUGAUAAGAUAUUAAGGCUAAAAUUAUGAGAUUUGAUGCUAUAGAGAAAAUCUCUUCAAUCUCAUCAGAUUUCCUCUUAACGAUAGGACUCCCAAUUCUGUCAAUUUCCCAUCAAAUUAAGAGACAAACUCUCCCUUCAGAUUGCAUCAGAGUUUCCGUAUUAAAAACGAUCUUUUAUGACCAUGGGCCCUUCAUAAAAGUUGUAACCCUGGAUGUGUAUAUGAAUUAGGGAUUUUGAAUCUCCUGAUUUCGGUAUCUAAAACUCUAGAUAAGCCCAUUUGAAUAUUGUGUGCGCAAACAAAAAAUCCUAUUGCAAAUAGGAUUCAGACCUGAUUUUGCAACUCCAUUUAGAGGCCCAAACGAACUCGGAUUUUUGCCCAUAAUACUUUUACAAAAAGCUUCAUAUAUGUACUUAAACUUUGAUGAAACCCAUAUUUCCAUUCUAGAAUUCCAACUUAGUGAAAAACCUGUCAAAUUUGCGUAUUAUGAUUGCAUUCUGAUAAGCGUUCCAGAACGUCAACAAUGUAGGUGCAGCAAUUUCAAGCCCAAUUUAAACCUAGAUUCAGUUACUAUAUCUCAAAACUCAAAACAUUAAAGUUAUAUAUAUGUUUCUUGGUGUUCCAUAGCAUCUUGAAUCAUCCCAAUCGGAGCUCGGAUAAAAGAAUGAUGCCAAAUUACGAAGCAAUAUCAAAAUUGUCCAAAAUCUCCCAAUUAGCUUCGUUUUGUAUUUAACGCCUCCAUUUGCAUCCUAAAUCAAAAUAUAAGAAUAAUAAGUACAUUUAGGCACCAAAUUGUUUACUUCAAAAAGUAAAGUUUAUUAUACAUAUUGAUUCUACAUAUAUUUGCAAGUAUAAAAUAGAGAAACAAUGGUGGAACACAGUAUUACUUGUCCCCUCAACUAAAAAUCGCCUUGUCUAUUUUUCAAUGGCGGAGCUGCCCCAUUUUCCGAUGUAGAGUUGCACAACCUUAAAAAAAUCCACUAACUACAGGAUCAUCAAUAGUCUAAAAAUGUGUUGUAUAGCUGCAAUCACAAUCUUGAUAUUAUGGUACAUGCAAAGUCAAUAAAUACACAUUUUAAAGCUUGUAAUAAAGUGACCACCUACUCAGAUCUCUUUUUUUUGUAUAUUUUAUACUCAUGACACCCACACUGCUGAAUCAAAAAAAGUGAUUCAUCCUACAACGAUCGGGCUGAAAAAUAAUGAUUUAUAGACUAAACUAUAUGCAGGUAAAUCUAGAUCCAAACAAAACUAAAAGAGUUACAGCCAACAAGUUAAUAGCAUCCUAAAAAAACGCAACCAGAAUAAAGAUUUUUAGAGAAAACAAAAUUAAAACUAAAAAUCCUCCACAGAAGCUUUGAUUAAAGUAGAGAUAGAAUUGCUAUAGCUGAUUUAACAAGCAAUUAAAAAAAUUGUAGAUCAAAUGUUUUGGGCCAUGUCUUUAAGACUCCAACAAUUGUUCUCAUAUUUAUAAAGAAUAAUAGCACAUGGAGGCAAUAAUAAGUUGCCAUUACGGCUUUCACACGUUGCCCUCCGCCUAUCACUUAUUUCUUUUCUCAUCAUCAGCGCCCCUCCUCCUCAAAUGCUAGAUAAAUAAGAUAAAAUGCAAGAGCUGGUCAAAAUCUAAAAAAAUACAAUAAAGAAGAAUAGCAAAUAGUUAAGGUGGUGUGGAAUAUCUGCUAAUCAAUGUUGAAUAUUAUGGUACAUGCAACAGUCAAUAAAUACAAUUUAAAAAAGCCUAAACUAAAGUGAUGGCAUUAUCUACUCAGAUCUCUUUUUUUUGUAUAUUUUAUCCUCAUGAGAACCCACAACCCUGAAGAAAGUGAACAACCCUUCACAGAUUAGGCCUGAAACAUUAUGAGUUACAACUAACUAUAUUUUAAUUAAUUGUAUUCAAAGGGAAACUAAAAAGGUACAGCCAACAACAAUUUAAUUCCCCUAGAAGCCAACCAGAAUAAAGAAUUUAUAGAAUAAUAACAUUAAACAAACAAUCCCUAGCAGAAGUCUUUGAUUAAAGUAAGAAAAAAGAAGUUGGCUAAUAGCUGAUUUAACAGCAAUUAAAAAAAAUCGUAGAACAAAUGUUUUUUGGCCAUAUACUUUAAGACUCCAAUAAUUGGUGGCUCAAUUUAAAACAAAACUAUUUAGAGAAUAUAACAUUAAACUAAAAAACUUCCUGCAGAAGCUUUGAUUAAAUUAAGAAAAAGAAGUUGCUAAUACUGAUUUAACAAGAAUUAAAAAAAAUCGCAGAGCAAAUGUUUUGGGCCAUAUCUUUAAUAAGAUCCACUAAUGUCUCAAAUUUAUAAAGAACAAUAGCACAUGGAUGCAACAAUAGGUUUGGCCUUACAACGGCCUUCACAAGUUGCCGCCCCUCAUUUAGUUAUUUAUCAUCAUAGCCCGUAACCAAAUGCCCAGAAAACAUGCCCUACGACUUUCCUCUCAGGCCCGCACUUUUAAUUCCAAGGCUGCAUCCUCCCAAUCUUUUAAACAAAUGAGCAUCUAAAAUAUCCUAGCUAUCUAUCUUCUCUUCUCAUCCAAAACUCUAUCACUUGCACUAAAUUCAAUUCGGAUGCAAGUGAAGAGGUAGGAGGUGUAAAAAGAUCGCGUGCCAUAAUUGAAAUAAUUAGAAAUUUAAGAUCAUUGGGUUUUUCCACCAUCAAAGCAAGGAUUCAAAAAUUUCCACGGGGUUUAUAUUUUGUAAAAAAAAUCCGUUUCAAAUACAUAGAAAGUUUUCGGUGUGUGAGACUACACUUCUCUUCUAUUGAAAGUAAAGAUCAUGUGGGGCAUUUGCUAGUUUAUAAGAAGAAGAUGUUAAAUGAACACAUUAGAGUAUGACUAAAAAAUUUAGACUCAUAUGAAAAUAUAUUAUUUCAAUAGUAAAUGUAACAUCAGUAGUAUAAGGUAAUGUAAUAUCAAAUUAUUACAAUCCCUCCUGUAAAAGAGCAAUACAACACCACCUUCUAAUUUUAAAUCCUUUUGGGGGUCCAGACAUGCAGCUAAAAUAAAAUAUUUAGGCAUAUCCUAAAAAAAUAAAUUUACUAUUAACCAAUGAUUGCAUCUACAAAAAUUUAUUUUAUUCUGUCUUCAAAAAUUUUAGACUCAGAUAACAAGUAUUAAGCACAAUAGAAAUGAAGUGGAAUAAAAACACCAGAAACAAGCACACGUAGUAGCAUUUAAAACACCUUCAAAAAUUGCAUAUAUUCAAAAAACAAUAUUCUAAUCAAGCUAGAGUUAAAAAACAAUCACUUAAUUGACAUAAAAAGCGUAAUAAAUCCCGAUUCAUUCCUACAUGAUUUAAACAUAUAAGUUGAAUUCCAACGAUUUUUUAUAUCAAUUGUAUUUUCUCGGUUUUACAUGAAAACUAGCAUACAUGGAAUCAAAUUUUGUUGCCUAGGGGGAAGGGCUAUAAAACAGAAUUGACACCUCUAAUUUUUUCUAUAUUGGUCCUAUAUUGUUUUAAACCCUCUUGUAACAACUAAGUUAAUGAUAUGGCAUUACACAUUGCAUAUGAAACAAAUUGACCCGAUGAGAAGUAGAUAACUUUAUUUCAAAUAUUCAAUGGUUAGCAGUAUGGUUAUCAAAUGGGAAUACUAAUACUUUGUCAAACAAUGUUAAACUACCUAAAAAUACAUUAUUUCAUGAAAAAUGUUGUUAGUAUUAUGAGGAAAAUCAUUAAACGGAAAGCAAGAAUUUUUUUUGCAAAAUCCAACUAGCAUCAUAUAAUAUGCUAGUCACAGCCAUAUAAUCAAGAUAUUGUUACCACUCCACAAUCAGAAUAAACAGAGAUUGUACUAUCAAGUUAGAGAUUAUACAAUCAAUUUUUUUCGAUAAUCAUUAAAAUCUUUUCACACAAUCCUCUAGUUGUAAUUCUAAAACUUAGAAAAAAACAGGUUGUAAACACGUGGACAAAAAAUUAAUUCAAAAUUAAUAUCAUAACAAAAAAAAUGUUGCUCUGUGCCCAGCUAAGCUACAUAUGGACCAAACCAUUUCUCAUCUUGAGGUUUAGAGUCACGGAAAUAUAUAACCAUUACACUAAUACCACACUAAUUUUCUCUUAUAUUUAUUCUUAAAUGUCUCUCAAUAUGCCCCGAUGCCACCAUUACUAUUGCAAGAAUAAUUAUUGAACAAUAAUUAACACACCUCUAGAUCCUAUGUCACUCCUUCUUGGUUAUGUAAAUUUUCUCAAAUUUUUGCAUGUUUCCAUACCCCAUGAAGUGCGACACCCUUUUCACACUUCAUCGCACGUUAUGUGAUGUCGAACAUGAACCUGGUUUGGUUUCACAAGUCAAACCGUCUAAAAGCGGCAUUCACUACAGAAUUAAUCAGUACCACCGGUGGUAAAUGAAUUGUGCGUGAAUUCCUGCAGUGAAUGUUGUGAAUGAUCUGGAAUUUGGGUCGUGCUGGUCACACCAAAAUUAGGAGAUGCCCAUAAUUAAACACAGAAUAAACUCAAACUAACACAAAUAAAACAGUCUCUUUAAAGAAGAUAGAUAAAUAGUAAAAGAUCACCACCAUAGGAAUAGAUUUAGAAAGAUCCUGUUGUUGUGGUAGUGUUAGCGGUAAAUGAAGUAGACGCAGUUUCUACAACAAGACACUAUCAGCCACUUUUUUUGGACACCACAAACUUGUAAAAUAUAUAUACAAAAUCAGGAAAGAACCUACAAAUUAUUUCUAUUAAUUGUUUCUCAGUUCCUAGCUUAAUUAAGCAAAUAGCUAGCAGAAAGAAAGAGAGAGAUUGGGACUUCAAACUUGGAUCGCACUCUUAGGUGUGUAAUGCGAUAGUCACCGAAAUCACCGUAUGACUUGCUAUGGAAAGAGAUCAAACGAUGAUCGAACGAAGGAAAGAGAUUUAAUGGAGGAAAGUGAUCAAACGGAGGAAGGAGAUCGGACGGUGACCGUGCGGCUUUAGCCUUUAUCAAAUCGCAAAAGUUGAGAGAGAGAGAGGGAGAGAGGGAUUGAGCAGCGAGAUGUGUCAUGGACAUGUAUUUAGCAUUUACGAAAUAGCAAACGUUAAGAGGGAGAGAGAGAGAGAGGCGGGAGUGAGAAGAGUGAGCUAUGAGUUGAUUGACAACUCUGAAGUCUUGAUUAAUUAGUAUAGGAGCACCGCUGCAGACGCAUGUGGAGUCGAGAACACGUUUGAAAAACUUUUGCCAACCCCUGUGGAGGGGAACACGUCUAAUUUUUUGGCGCAUAUAUAGAUAUAGGCCCACAUCUCUGAUCUCUCACUAUUGUUAGGCGAGUAGAGUGUAUAUAUAAUAUAUACACUCGACUCUCUAACAAAGUGAGAGAACAAGCUAGCCCAAGGUGGUAAGGGAGGCCUUACCAGAACUUAGGCCUGGGUUCGAAAGUUCACCCCGCCCCCGGGCACAAGGGCGUAGUAUUCAGGCGGAACGUCAGGUACCGAGCUACACUCGGACCCUUCACCCCCCCACCCCCCCUUCUCCUUCCUACAUCCCCCCUCCUUCCGCUCCGGUAGCGCAUUCGAUUCUUGUAGCUGCCGGUCGCAGAUCCGCGUUGAAAUCAUGAGGUGUGAAGGGUUAGCUGCUCAGGGCACAAGAGUAGUUGGGUGGCAAAAGCUGUUCUAGGACACUAUGUGGAUUAUCAAAAAAAAAUAGUGAGAGAUCAGAGAUCAAGAUGUGGCCACAGUAGAAAGGAAAUAUAAUUUAAGGCUUUUGAACAAGUACACUAUGUGUUCUCUACCCCUCUCUCUCUCUCUCUGCUCUGCAUGUACUAUUGUACAUAUGCAGUCGAAAAUGAAAAAGAGUAUAGAACUGGAGGGCAAAUUACACCAUGGAUCUCUGUAGUUUAACUAAAUUUUUUUUGAUCUUAAUCGUUCUAAUUUAAACAAUUAGGAUUUUUUAAUCUCAAUUUUGAUUCAAAUAUAAUCCCAGACAAUAUUCUUAAAAAAUUUGCUGCGAAUUAUUUUCAGUUUGAAUGUUUAAUUUGCAUGAGAUAAUAUUCAUUAAAACACUCAGUUAAUCAACUAUAUAUGAUUAAUUAAAUAGAUGAUCGACGACGCGAGAUGAUAAUAGACAAAUAUAAUUUGAUUAAAAGUCAUCUUUUUUGAAAAACAAAGUGAUUUCGAAUAGGGAUUAUUAACCUUCAAUUAAAUAAUUAUUUGACAAAUAAUAUUUCAACAUUGAGACCAGACAAACUGGAAUAUAUGGUUAUGGUAAAUCCAAAUCGACUACUUUGCGAAACCUGUAAUAGGUAAAAUGUGAUUUUAAAAAAAAGAAGUUAGGUAAGUAAGAAAUUGUUAUGACUUGAUACAAACCAUCCCAAAUAAUGGAAACAUGGACUUUGCUAGUGAAAGAAGAUCAUAAAGACGUAAAUAUGUAGAAAUUAGGAAGACAAGUGGAAGCACAGAGAGAGAGAGGAGAGAGAGUUUUGAAAACAACUUGUUUAUGCAAUGGAGUUGUGAUCACACGGGAGAAUGCCCAUGGUAGUACCACGGGAGCGCCCACGUAGUCUCUUGUUAAUUAUUUAUUUUGGGUUUGAUUGGCUUUAAAAAAUAAAUAAAACAUAAUUUGUUCAAUCAAUCCCCAAAUAGGUGGUUAACAAGAGGCUACGUGGGUGCUCUCGUAAUGCUACCACAGACGCGCUCCUAUGUGAAUCACACUCUUAUGCACUGAGAGUUAAAAUUGACAAAUGUCAUGGAGUCGGUAAGGGAUUUGGAGUCACAAGGCUGAACGGCUGCUGCAUCUGGGCCCCUUAUUUAAUCCCUACUCACACCUUUUUUAUGCCCUGUGGUACAGCACUAGUUAUAACGCACUCCUCUCACACAUGUAUGUGAUAUGUUGACAAAGCUUCCAAAGUAGUCAAAUGGUCACACACAGUUUAAGUAUUUUUGAUUAUUUUAUUUUUAAAAUUUUUUUUUUAAAUAUUAUAACUUUACAAUAAUGUAAAAAUUAUAUUGACAACUUCUUAUAACUAUCUGCAUGGUAGGGUUUCAAAAUUGGACUAGAGAAAGAUGCCUCCUAUAUGUAACCCCUCAAAUUAAGUUCAUUCCAAUCUAUUACCCACGACAAAUGUUAACCAUCCCUCAAAUAAUAAACAAAAAAUAUAUGAUUUUCGUAAAAAGUAUAGAAUUUCGAUAUAAAAUUAAAACACGUGUAAAUGAGUAUAAAUAAACGUUAUAAAAAGUGUUCAUUAUCCAUCGUUCAGUAAAUAGUGGUUUAGAAGGACACAUCUAGUGCAUAUUGUAAAUUCUUGAGAACAUCUGCUUAAAAUAAUGUAAAUAAGAUAUUAUUAUAAAUACAAUUUAAUUUUAAUGGAUAAAUUCCAUUUUAAAUGAAACUCGAUCAUUUUGAGGGGGAAAAUGGAGGAAGCUGGAUAGAUAAGGGGAAGGGAGGGGGGGAAGGAGAAGGUAAGCGGACCAAACGAGAGGACACACAAUGCAAGAGUAGGGAAAAAGUGGGAACAGAGGGCGAAGUAGUGAACCAUUUCAAUUUAUUUAUCUCUUGCGUCAUUUGGAUCGAGUUUAGCUAAGUUCAAAUUUAAACUUUAUAGAAUAAAGACAACGGAAUAUUGGGUCCUCAGUGAUUGUAUAGCACGCUAAGGCCCUUGAAUUUUGGUUCUUUUAUUAUAGCGAUUUUUAACUUUUUUUAUACAAGUAAACAAAUCAUGUAAAAAUAACACGAAUAGAUCGUGGUUUCAACACGUGAUUAAAUUGAAAGAUGAAAGCUAAAAACCCUAGUAUUUCUUUCAUUUAUUAUGUAUAAAAAUUUUAAAUUAUUGGAUCAUUUAUUUUUCUUUUUUUUUUUUUUUCUUUGCUUACCAAAUUCUUCAUCCAAACACGGGGCCUCAGAUUCCACUUGAUGUUAACUAUCACAUAAUCAAGAGAUAUGAAUCAUUCAUUUUUGAAUUCUUAAAUUUUUUCUUGAUUCAAAGUUUAGACCGUAGAAAAUGCCUAAAAAUAUAUCAUUGAGAAGUAAUUAAAAGGAUUUUUUAUUAUCUGUUUUUAGAAAUAAAAAUAGAGCAAAUCAAAAUAGUUAGGCUUUUCAAACAAUCAAUAUUCUCUUAUUAAUAAUGCAAAAUAACUAAAAGCAAUAAGUAAAUUUUCACAUCAAUGUUGUAUAGGAUGAAGGAGGAAUAUACUCAAUUUUUCACUGUUCAAUCUAAAGACAUAAACAUGCAAAAUAAAGUAAACAAAAAUUUAACCUAAAUACAAAGAGAAUUUAUUUUCAUACUUCUAUUUUUAAUUGUCUUUUUUAUAUUUAUUAAAUUAUUUAUAAAUUAUUAGGACAAAACAAAUAUAAAACUCUAACAAUUACCCGGCUUAGGAGAAAUGGUAUUUUUUUACAUAGUGCCCAUAGCAUUGGAUAAUUACCAAUUUUAUUCUCAUAUAUAUAAUUACAAAAUUCAAAUUUUGACCUAUCAUUAAAAAUUAAAAUUUUUAUUUUUAUUAGUCAAAAAUUUAUUUUUGAUUUUUUUCUUAUUUUUUAAAUAAAAUAGUUUUUAUUUUUUAAAAAUAUUUUUUAUUUUAUUAUGCCAAAUUAAUUUAUUUAAUUAAAUUAAAUUUUAAUUUAUUUAAUAAUUAAUCAUUUAUUGCCACUUUCAUGUCGUGCCAUACCAAUUAUCAUGUCGUGCCCGUGUCGUGCCCGUGACAUUUCCAUGUCGUGCUCGUGUCGUGCCAGUCUAAGAUCGUGUCGUACCUGACUAAGUCUGCAUCGUGCUGUGCUGCGACGUGCCAUGCCAAACCAAGCCAACUAUAGUGCCGUGCCCGGCUUUGACCGUGCCGUAUCAUGCUAGGCCAACUACUGUGCCGUGUCCCACCAGUUUCGUGCCCCGUACCCGUAC
rnacentral:lncRNA from 1 species